AUUCAGCUGACGACUCCCAAAUUGGACGAGACGCGUGUCUUGGAU
rnacentral:hammerhead_ribozyme from 1 species